rfam:Parabacteroides distasonis ATCC 8503, complete genome.
ACAACGAAGAGUUUGAUCCUGGCUCAGGAUGAACGCUAGCGACAGGCUUAACACAUGCAAGUCGAGGGGCAGCACAGGUAGCAAUACCGGGUGGCGACCGGCGCACGGGUGAGUAACGCGUAUGCAACUUGCCUAUCAGAGGGGGAUAACCCGGCGAAAGUCGGACUAAUACCGCAUGAAGCAGGGAUCCCGCAUGGGAAUAUUUGCUAAAGAUUCAUCGCUGAUAGAUAGGCAUGCGUUCCAUUAGGCAGUUGGCGGGGUAACGGCCCACCAAACCGACGAUGGAUAGGGGUUCUGAGAGGAAGGUCCCCCACAUUGGUACUGAGACACGGACCAAACUCCUACGGGAGGCAGCAGUGAGGAAUAUUGGUCAAUGGCCGAGAGGCUGAACCAGCCAAGUCGCGUGAGGGAUGAAGGUUCUAUGGAUCGUAAACCUCUUUUAUAAGGGAAUAAAGUGCGGGACGUGUCCCGUUUUGUAUGUACCUUAUGAAUAAGGAUCGGCUAACUCCGUGCCAGCAGCCGCGGUAAUACGGAGGAUCCGAGCGUUAUCCGGAUUUAUUGGGUUUAAAGGGUGCGUAGGCGGCCUUUUAAGUCAGCGGUGAAAGUCUGUGGCUCAACCAUAGAAUUGCCGUUGAAACUGGGGGGCUUGAGUAUGUUUGAGGCAGGCGGAAUGCGUGGUGUAGCGGUGAAAUGCAUAGAUAUCACGCAGAACCCCGAUUGCGAAGGCAGCCUGCCAAGCCAUUACUGACGCUGAUGCACGAAAGCGUGGGGAUCAAACAGGAUUAGAUACCCUGGUAGUCCACGCAGUAAACGAUGAUCACUAGCUGUUUGCGAUACACUGUAAGCGGCACAGCGAAAGCGUUAAGUGAUCCACCUGGGGAGUACGCCGGCAACGGUGAAACUCAAAGGAAUUGACGGGGGCCCGCACAAGCGGAGGAACAUGUGGUUUAAUUCGAUGAUACGCGAGGAACCUUACCCGGGUUUGAACGCAUUCGGACCGAGGUGGAAACACCUUUUCUAGCAAUAGCCGUUUGCGAGGUGCUGCAUGGUUGUCGUCAGCUCGUGCCGUGAGGUGUCGGCUUAAGUGCCAUAACGAGCGCAACCCUUGCCACUAGUUACUAACAGGUUAGGCUGAGGACUCUGGUGGGACUGCCAGCGUAAGCUGCGAGGAAGGCGGGGAUGACGUCAAAUCAGCACGGCCCUUACAUCCGGGGCGACACACGUGUUACAAUGGCGUGGACAAAGGGAGGCCACCUGGCGACAGGGAGCGAAUCCCCAAACCACGUCUCAGUUCGGAUCGGAGUCUGCAACCCGACUCCGUGAAGCUGGAUUCGCUAGUAAUCGCGCAUCAGCCAUGGCGCGGUGAAUACGUUCCCGGGCCUUGUACACACCGCCCGUCAAGCCAUGGGAGCCGGGGGUACCUGAAGUCCGUAACCGAAAGGAUCGGCCUAGGGUAAAACUGGUGACUGGGGCUAAGUCGUAACAAGGUAGCCGUACCGGAAGGUGCGGCUGGAACACCUCCUUU